GUGGGGAAUCUUGCACAAUGGGCGAAAGCCUGAUGCAGCCAUGCCGCGUGAAUGAUGAAGGCCUUAGGGUUGUAAAAUUCUUUCGUCAGGGAUGAUAAUGACCGUACCUGAAGAAGAAGCCCCGGCUAACUUCGUGCCAGCAGCCGCGGUAAUACGAAGGGGGCUAGCGUUGUUCGGAAUUACUGGGCGUAAAGCGCACGUAGGCGGACUUUUAAGUCAGGUGUGAAAUCCCGGGGCUCAACCUCGGAACUGCAUUUGAAACUGGAAGUCUUGAGAUCAGGAGAGGUUAGAGGAAUACCGAGUGUAGAGGUGAAAUUCGUAGAUAUUCGGUGGAACACCAGUGGCGAAGGCGGCUAACUGGACUGAUACUGACGCUGAGGUGCGAAAGUGUGGGGAGCAAACAGGAUUAGAAACCCCGGUAGUCC
rnacentral:rRNA from 1 species